rnacentral:rRNA from 1 species
GACGGAGGAUGCAAGCGUUAUCCGGAAUGAUUGGGCGUAAAGCGUCCGCAGGUGGCAGUUCAAGUCUGCUGUCAAAGACCGGGGCUUAACUUCGGAAAGGCAGUGGAAACUGAACAGCUAGAGUAUGGUAGGGGCAGAGGGAAUUCCUGGUGUAGCGGUGAAAUGCGUAGAGAUCAGGAAGAACAUCAGUGGCGAAGGCGCUCUGCUGGACCAUAACUGACACUCAGGGACGAAAGCUAGGGGAGCGAAUGGG